rnacentral:rRNA from 1 species
GAUGAACGCUGGCGGCGUGCCUAAUACAUGCAAGUCGAGCGAACAGAUAAGGAGCUUGCUCCUUUGACGUUAGCGGCGGACGGGUGAGUAACACGUGGAUAACCUACCUAUAAGACUGGGAUAACUUCGGGAAACCGGAGCUAAUACCGGAUAACAUAUUGAACCGCAUGGUUCAAUGGUGAAAGGCGGCUUUGCUGUCACUUAUAGAUGGAUCCGCGCCGUAUUAGCUAGUUGGUAAGGUAACGGCUUACCAAGGCAACGAUACGUAGCCGACCUGAGAGGGUGAUCGGCCACACUGGAACUGAGACACGGUCCAGACUCCUACGGGAGGCAGCAGUAGGGAAUCUUCCGCAAAGGGCGAAAGCCUGACGGAGCAACGCCGCGUGAGUGAUGAAGGUCUUCGGAUCGUAAAACUCUGUUAUCAGGGAAGAACAAAUGUGUAAGUAACUGUGCACAUCUUGACGGUACCUGAUCAGAAAGCCACGGCUAACUACGUG